CAGCGAUUCCCAGGGUUGUCAUAGAAACCACUCCCUGGGGCUUGGCAAAGCAGGAGCCCUCCGUGGCAGGGCUUCGGUGUCGGGGCUCCGAGGCUCCGGCCUGACUUCUCCACGGGGUCCACAGGAGCGUCUCCGGAUGCCAGGACCUGAAAUGGGCCGACCAGGAUGAGGAAACCACAGGCAGAGGCCGGGGAAGCAGCGCGGCAUCCCAUCCUCAGGCCUGCCCGGACGGUGUUCGGGAUCAAGAGGACCACACUCCAGCCCAGGACAAAAGCCCCACGGUAGCACAUUGUCCGGCAGGAGAGGAGCAGACCCACGUCCAAGAAGAUGGUUGUACCUUUCCACGCCUCUUCUCUGCGAAAUGAAGCCACACCAUGACACAAUCUUGAAGAGGAAGCCGGGAAUGGGAGACGGCAACAAUCCCUGUCCCUGGAACGCUGGCCUCUAUGGACAAGCCACCCGCUUCGCACCCCUCCCCUUAUGCCCGUGGCGGUGGCACGGCGCCGUAUCCUGCCUGGGCUCUGGCCUCUGCUCUGUCCUCCCUCUUCCACUGUCUCCCCUGUUUCUCAGCGGCCUAGAUGCCUCUUGGUCUGGCUGAAUAUCUUCUAUGAAGAUCACUUCCCCGUCCAUCAGGGAGACAAUUCCUGGAGAUUCGUGUCAUGACUGUUUCUCUCUCCAAACCUGUUUCUGCUGGAUUGCGCAGGUCUGAUGACCCUGGAGCUCUUGGCUUCCAUACGUGUCUCAGACAGAAUCAUCUCCCCUGCCCCACAAACAUGAAAGAAAAGACAAGAGAAGCACCCCAGAAGAGGAGGGGAGAAGUGCCCCAGAAAAAAUCAUCCAGUCUCUGAAGCUUUGCCCAGAAACUAUGAAAAUACAUUGCAAGAAUGCAACAUGCAGCACAGCAGAGAAGGGGCUGUCUGCAAAGAUAAAGGGCUGGAGGGAAGUUUUCUAAGGUUGUGCUGGACGGCGCUAUGUGCAGGCCUCCCCCGACGCCCUUCUCUCCUCGCCUUUCCCCCUUCUCCUCUCCCAAAUUCUAGUUGCCCAUCUGCUUGGUUGGGCUGCUGGUCGAUCUGAUCAGCUUUCUGAGGCCACAUCAAAACUGCAGAAAUGAGGCUGAUCGACCCAGCAACUCUAACAAAGAUCAUCCAUGGGACAUCUGGUCGCCCCUCUAUCUCGGAGCCAGAGGCUAUACGCUCUUCCCCGGUGGGGAGGGUGGGGCCCCAAAGUCCAACCACAAGAUCCCAUUAUGCGGGCCACGGCUAAAUCCACUGCGCCUUCCCCGUUUUUCUCGUACUGCCCAAGCCAGUCUCCACCUCCAAAACAAGACUCAGAAAAAGGUGUGAAGCUCAAGUCGGAUGACCAUGACCCACGCGUGGCCACGGACGGGCCCAUGCUACCCUUCGCAGUCCUCCUGGAACAGCCGGGCCGGUCCUCACCUCCGGGUCGGGGCUUGGAGAUAAUGGGUGUAAUGGAAGGCCUGAGGACCGGGCCCCACGCCAGUCAGCGUCCGGGCGGGAUACCCCAUCCCCCGUUCACACUCUCGGAAGGCCCAGCGAUUCCCGCGUGUACUAAUUGACCCGCUCAGGCCACAGCACUCCGAGCUCAAGAGCGCGCCUACAACGCUGACCCUCAGGUUUAAUCUCCGACGAAAGGACGAAGAGUACACCCAGCAAAGCCGGGCUCAUCCUGCCAGCGCUGCCAGUCCCCUGGAACUCUGCACCGCGCCCUGUGGCCAAAUCCCCUUUCUUGCCGGCUUCGCCAGAGCGCCGGAGAGAAAACCUUAACAGUGCAGCCAGGUGGCGCCCGACAGCCGGCGCCAGCGGCCGCGGAUCGGAUCCGCAUCUCCGGCGGGCGAGGCCUCUCCUAGUCCCUGACCAACUGGGAUCGCGUUUCUCGGCCUGGGGCGGGUGAAGGAGCUCCCAGUUGGCACCGCCUGGAAUGGCGCGACCCCGCAGCCGAAGGAGACUUGAAAAUUUUUCCUAACUACCGUUCUGCUCCGAGUGACUGCUACCUGCGAGGACAGACAGCCCACGCGGCUCCGGGCCGGGCGAUCUUCCGCGGGAACCGGGAACGUUUCCGAAGACCCCCGCAGGCCGGCGCCCUGCCUCGGCUUCCCAGCGCAGCGGGGUCCCGGGCUCCUCGCGGAUUAGAAAGUUUUGCUGGGCUCUGGCGGCGGGAGAGACAGUGAAGUUGAAACCGUGAAAGGGAGAACAUGGGUGAAUCGCUUUUAUUCUGUCUUUUCGGAAUGGGGAAGCCUUUCUAAAGCAUUAAAUAAACCCAGAAGCCAUCAAGGAAAUGAUUGAUCGGCUUGACAACAUAAAGUUUGAACAAAAUACACAAGCAAAGUCAAAAGAUAACAAAUGAGUGUGGGGAUCGCUUAUGCAUAAGAUAAGAAUAUUGAUUUCAUUCACAGUAGCCAAGAUACGGAAGCAACCUAGCCAAGAUAUGGAAGCAUCUACUAGUGGCUGAACGGAUAAAGAAAAUGUGGUGUAUGUACACCACGGGGUACUGUCCCGCCUUUGAAUAAAAGGAAAUCCUGCCAUUGGCGACAACAUGGAUGAACGUGGAGGUCAUUGUACUAAGAAAAGUAAGCCAGGCACAGAAACAAAUACCACCUGGUCUCUCCUGUAUGUGGAAUCUGAAAAUAGUUGAACUCAUAGAAACGGAGAGUAGAACGGUGGCUACUUGAGGCCGGGGGAAGGGCAGGAGGGGGAAGAUGUUAGUCAAAGGGUACAAGGAUUCAGUUAGACAAGAGGAAUAUGUUUUAGUGAUCCACAUGGCACGGUGACUGUAGUUAAUGCAUUUUAUAUGUCAAAAUUCCUUAAAUAGUAGAUUUUAAAUAAUCUCACCACAAAAAAAUAGAUGUGUUGGUGAUGGAUAUCUUAAUUAGCUUAAAGUAAUUGUUCCACCAAUGUAUACAUAUAUCAAAACAUCACAUUGUAUCCCAUGAAUAUAU
ensembl:lncRNA LINC02693 long intergenic non-protein coding RNA 2693